AACGAACGCUGGCGGCAGGCCUAACACAUGCAAGUCGAGCGGACCCUUCGGGGUUAGCGGCGGACGGGUGAGUAACGCGUGGGAAGAUGCCCUUCUCUACGGAAUAGUCCUGGGAAACUGGGGGUAAUACCGUAUACGCCCUUCGGGGGAAAGAUUUAUCGGGGAAGGAUUAGCCCGCGUUGGAUUAGGUAGUUGGUGGGGAAAGGGCCGACCAAGCCGACGAUCCAUAGCUGGGUUGAGAGGCUGAUCCGCCACACUGGGACUGGGACACGGCCCAGACUCCUACGGGAGGGAGCCGUGGGUGAUCCUAGACUAUGGGGGCAACCCUGAUCUAGCCAUGCCGCGUGAGUGAUGAAGGCCUUAGGGUUGUAAAGCUCUUUCAGCUGGGAAGAUAAUGACGGUACCAGCAGAAGAAGCCCCGGCUAACUCCGUG
rnacentral:rRNA from 1 species